rnacentral:rRNA from 1 species
UCUAUGUCGGCGACCGGCGCACGGGUGCGUAACGCGUAUGCAACCUACCCAUUACAGGGGGAUAACACUGAGAAAUCGGUACUAAUACCCCAUAACAUCCAGGGAGGCAUCUUCUUGGGUUGAAAACUCCGGUGGUAAUGGAUGGGCAUGCGUUGUAUUAGUUAGUUGGUGGGGUAACGGCUCACCAAGAUAACGAUACAUAGGGGGACUGAGAGGUUAACCCCCCACAUUGGUACUGAGACACGGACCAAACUCCUACGGAAGGCAGCAG